ensembl:lncRNA
AUGAUCCAUGAUCAGUACCUGAAGGGAGAUUUCUCUCUCACCAUCUCUGACGCUGAUUACAGUAUGAUGGGCACGUACACAUGUGAGUGCGGUAAUUCUGAACUCUGUGAUGUGCGGCUUCAGGUUGAGGAAACACCAGAGGCAGGGAACAAUAUUUCUGGCAGCAGUCAUACUAAAGGAACGUCCCACGUGUAUGUGUCAGCUGUUCCUCUAGUGAGGGUGAAGCUUCAUGACUCUGCUACUCUGCCCUGCUCUGAGACAUGUUCUGGUUUGGUCAGAUGGACUGAGUUCCAUAAUCCCACUGAUGUUCUGGCUGAGUGUGAUCAGACCUCAUGUAGAUCAGUGAAGGAGGGAUAUCAGAUGAUCCAUGAUCAGUACCUGAAGGGAGAUUUCUCUCUCACCAUCUCUGACGCUGAUUACAGUAUGAUGGGCACGUACACAUGUGAGUGCGGUAAUUCUGAAGUCUGUGAUGUGCGGCUUCAGGUUGAGGAAACACCAGAGGCAGGGAACAAUAUUUCUGGCAGCAGUCAUACUAAAGGAACGUCCCACGGGUCUGAAUCAGCUGUUGGUCCAGUGAAGGUGAAGCUUCAUGACUCUGCUACUCUGCCCUGCUCUGGGAGAUGUCCUGGUUUGGUCAGAUGGACUGAGUUCAGUAAACCCAGUGAUGUUCUGGCUGAGUGUGAUCAGACUUCAUGUAGAUCAGUGAAGGAGGGAUAUCAGAUGAUCCAUGAUCAGUACCUGAAGGGAGAUUUCUCUCUCACCAUCACUGACGCUGAUUUCAGUAAGAAGGGAGUCUACGCAUCUGACUGUGAUGGUAAAGAUCUCUGUGAUGUGGAGCUUCAGGUUGAGGACACACCAGAGCCAGAGAAGAGGCCUGAGAUCAAAGGAGACAUUGACAAACCAUCCCAUGGUGAAGAACAACGCUGGGUGCCUGUGUUGGUUGCUGUGCUCACGGUGGUGCUGAUGCUGGUGCUGUUGCAGAUACUGGUGCAUGUGUCUGUAGCUGCAGGGUGGUAUAUGUUCAAAGCAAGGAGCAUGAAAAGUUCCGAUCAGGAGGAAAACCAGGAGUAAAGUUCUGCAGUGUGAGCUCAGCAUCAGCUAACAGUUUCUGACUGUGAUAUUAAUAUUGAUAUUGAUUGUAUCUGUAAGUGUUUAGUUUAGUGAAUCUCUUUUUCAUGGUGUUCCUCUGUAAGAACAAAGUCUGUCUGGUUUUCUGACUCUGUGAUGUUGAUUAUAUUGAUUGUAUCUGUAAAUGAUUAGUUUGUUCCACUGUAAAGAACAGAGACUGUCUGGUAGCUCUCAGUCCCUCACACACACACACACACACACACACAGUCAGUGUAUAAACACCGUAAAGACCCCGACACUCUGACACCCCGACCAGCAGCAGCUCAGCUGUGUCUGAUUUCAUCUUCAGCUGAGUGCAGAGCGUCUGAAGCAGCUGUAAGGCAGCAUGUUCACCCUUCAGCUCCUGAUAGAAGUGUGGAGGAGUUCCUCUCAGAGCUCACAGCUCACUAUCACACACACAGUCCUCAGUUCUUUCAGUGGAAUAAGAGCUUUCAUACAGACGUGGACUUUAAAGUGUAUAAGCUGUUACUGUUUUAAAGGAAACUCUGACUGAUGAGACUCAUGUGCUUUAUAACAGUGUAGUAAUGUCCAGUAAUAUUAUUAGGGAUGUCCCGAUCAGGUUGUUCUGCCCCCGAUCCCAGUCGAGUCAUUUAAUAUUGACAGUCUUCUGAUACUGAUUCUCAAUCCGAUACUUACAGUAUAUUUUCCUAGAUAAUUCUAUUGCACAGUGCACAAUUCAAGUACAUUAUAGUUUGAUUAAAAUCAAUCCCGUGUAUAUGCUCCACAACUGAACAGGUCUGCAGUGCAUUAAGAAAAGCAUUGUCUGCAUACAAGAAAACAAAUUAAAAGAUGUCUUUAUAAAUAGUUUGGAUUAAUUCCAUUUAGUGCAGCAGUGCAGUAGUAAAACUAGAACACUCAAAAUGAGUAAAAUAAUUAUAAUUCCACUUUAAAGUGUUGUAAUAGCUUAACAUUCACAAUCAUGCCAAAAACCACAAUUCCAUCUAGUGCAGCAUUAUAGUACAAACAGUAUACUAAAAUUAAAAAUCAGAAAUCUCAGUUCCAUUUAGGUGGUGUAGCAGCUUAACUUGAACAUGUAAAAAAACAAUACAUUUCCACUUAUUAGAGCAACAGCAUUAUAGUAAAAUAUCAAAAUAAUAAAGUUGCAUUGUACUUGUUUGUUAUCUGGGAAGGCCAGUUCUUCAAAUGCUUUUAUUGCAGCUGCUACACUGUUUCCUAUCUUAUUCAGUUCCAAAUGAAGUGACAACAACUCAGAGGAACCUCUGCCAUGUUAGGUGAGAACCACGGUUCCUCUUCUCAUCAAUAACGUUCGAGACUGGACUAAAGAGUCACUCACUGUCCACACUUGCACAGGAGACACAGAGAAACUUGUUUGCAAUAGCAGCCAGUGAGGGAAUCGAGAUGCAACACCGGCUUCACAUCAAAGGUCGAGUCAGUCCAGUGCGCCGUGAGGCUAAGUAAUGAUGGGGAAACAGCAGAGCUCCAAAUGUCGGUGAUAAAGCUAACAGCACUCACAUCUGAUAGAAGACCUCGAACCUUGAACGUGCUCACGAGCCUUGCUGUAAAGCUCCGGUGUGGCUGUGUCUGUAGGACGUAGCGUGGCUCCAAAAGACGACGAAAACCUCUUUUCUACCAAAGCCAUAGGCUUGUCAUCUACGCGAUGAACUCAAUUACUCGCUCAGUAAUCUUUUUGGCCACGCCUCUGUUCUUUUAAAAGUUUGCUCUAGUGUGUGUUGCUUUGGUGCAGCCUUCACCUGAGUUACAUGAGUAAACUCACUGUAUUCUGCUGAGUGUUUACUUAGGCGCCGUAUCAGCUCUGUUACUACUGCCUCACGAAAUGCUAGCGUUGCGUACAUUACACACGACUGUUGGACUGGUUUCGUUCUCCACUUCAUUUUAUCCACACAUUUCAACACACCAGACAUUUUAGCAGCGUCCAACCACAAAUUGCACUCUCCGCUACAACACCCAUGUAACCACUGACGUAAAACAUAGGAUCGGGCAUAGAUUCAUGCUCAAUAAAGCCGAUAACGAUCAGUUAAAAAUGCCUUGAUCGGCCCCGAUACCAAUCUUUGAGAUCGGAUUGGGACAUCCCUAACUAUUAUAAUACAAAAAACAAAAAAAGGCUCUAGAUAAAGCUGGAAAGGUUCCAUUAGAUGUUUAGCUGAUUCCUAUUAGAGCAAUUUUAACAGUCAGUGUUUUGCUUGGUACUGGACAUGUUCGCCACAUCGAGGCCUGAGUAUCAGUCAGGGUUUGAUUUAAAUUGUUCCAUCACCGUUAUUGUUAUUACUUUUAUUACUGUUACUACUUUCUGUACUUGUAUUACUAUUAUUACUUACUUACCCGCAUUGCCUUUAUUACUAUAUCACUUUCUUUACUGAUAAUAGGGCAGCAAACUAACAUGCAGCUCAUCCAGCUAAUGGCCUUUUACAGUAUGCGUGGUUAAUAUUAGUAAUAGCAGUAGCAGUAAAGCUUUUGCUAGUAGUAUUGUGCCUUUGAUCGCUACAAAUAAGAGUUAAAUCAAUAGAUGUCAAAUAUUUCCUGCCUUAUUUUGAAUAUGACGUCACAAACAUCACUCAGAAGACGUGAACUGGCCCAUGAGACAGUGGGCAGUAUAGAUAUUAAUGUUCGUUUAGAAGUAACAGCUUCAGUUCUUCUCCUCAGGAACCCAGUUGGGAAACAGAAUAGCAGCUCACUGUCUCUUAUUUGUAUAGUCCAUUGCAUUGAACAGUGCUUUGUUUUGUGUGUUCUUUAUAUGUCAUAUUUGAAGCUUUGGUGUUAUAAAUAAAAGCCGAACUAUAGUUGUUAUUUGUAAUUUGCUGAUAGUGCCUAAAAUUAUAACAAUGCAAGGCUGUUAUACUCCUGGGUAAAUAAAGGCUGUUUGAAGGAAUAACUGGUGUUUAUGAUCUUCAUUACGUUUUUUUUAACAUUCAGAUCUUCAGA